AUGACGCAACGCCGCGUGGAGGAUGAAGGUCUUCGGAUUGUAAACUCCUGUUGCUCGGGAAGAAUGGCUCCGACCUAAUACGUCGGAGUGUGACGGUACCGGGUGAGGAAGCCCCGGCUAACUCUGUGCCAGCAGCCGCGGUAAUACAGAGGGGGCAAGCGUUGUUCGGAAUUACUGGGCGUAAAGGGCGCGUAGGCGGCCUGUUAAGUCGAACGUGAAAUCCCCGGGCUCAACCCGGGAACUGCGUCCGAUACUGGCAGGCUUGAAUCCGGGAGAGGGAUGUGGAAUUCCAGGUGUAGCGGUGAAAUGCGUAGAUAUCUGGAGGAACACCGGUGGCGAAGGCGGCAUCCUGGACCGGUAUUGACGCUGAGGCGCGAAAGCCAGGGGAGCAAACGGGAUUAGAUACCCCGGUAGUCCUGGCCCUAAACGAUGAAUGCUUGGUGUGGCGGGUAUCGAUCCCUGCCGUGCCGAAGCUAACGCAUUAAGCAUUCCGCCUGGGGAGUACGGUCGCAAGGCUG
rnacentral:rRNA from 1 species